rnacentral:tRNA from 1 species
GUUGUAUCUCAGUGGUGGAGCACUUGCCUUGCAAGUGUAAGGACCUGGGUUCGAUUCUCAGCACCACA